AGAAGCAUCAUAGUCUGAGACCCCGAAACUAGACGAGCUACUCCGAAGCAGUCUAAAAGGACUAACCCGUCUCUGUGGCAAAAGAGUGGGAAGACUUCCGAGUAGAGGUGAAAAGCCUACCGAGCCUAGUUAUAGCUGGUUGCUUAAGAAAAGAAUAUGAGUUCAGCCUUAUAAGUUUCUCAAAAAUCAAAAUGAAAGAAUAAAGUAACACAUAAGAGUUAGUCGAAGGGGGUACAGCUCCUUCGAAAAAGAACACAACCUUACCCAGGUAAAUAAGGAUUAUACUAAAAAAGGACAUGACUUUCAACAGUGGGCCCGAAAGCAGCCACCUCUAAUAGAAAGCGUUAAAGCUCAAGAACAGCCACACCAAAAAUAAAAAUAACCACUCCUAAUUUCCUAAUAAUAUUAAGCUACCCUAUUUUAUAGGAGAAAUUAUGCUAAAAUGAGUAAUAAGAGAAACUAGACCCUCUCCGGGCACACGUGUAAAUUAGAGCGGACAAACCACUGACAACUAACGGACCCAAAAAAGAGGGUAAAACAACAAAACUCAAUAAACAAGAAAAACCUAUUAAAACAACCGUUAACCCAACACAGGAGUGCCACUUAAGGAAAGACUAAAAGGGGAAGAAGGAACUCGGCAAACACAAACCUCGCCUGUUUACCAAAAACACCGCCUCCUGCAAAUAGAAUGUAUUGGAGGUCCUGCCUGCCCAGUGACAAUAGGUUCAACGGCCGCGGUAUUUUGACCGUGCAAAGGUAGCGUAAUCACCUGUCUUUUAAAUAAAGACCUGUAUGAAUGGCAAGACGAGGGUUUUACUGUCUCCUCCCCCCAGUCAAUGAAAUUGAUCUACCCGUGCAGAAGCGGGUAUAAAAACAUAAGACGAGAAGACCCUAUGGAGCUUUAGGCACACAUCAAAUAUGUAAAAAACCAAAUCUUCCAAAUAGGCCUAAAAAAUGAGAAAAACAAGUAUUAAUGAUUAAUUGCCUUCGGUUGGGGCGACCACGGGGAAAAAUAAAACCCCCACAUGGAAUGGGUAAAAUUAUCCUAAGCCAAGAAAAACAAUUCUAAGCAACAAAAUUUUUGACCAAUAAACGACCCAGGGACAACAUCCCUGAGCAAUGAACCAAGUUACCCUAGGGAUAACAGCGCAAUCCUUUCCCAGAGCCCAUAUCAACGAAAGGGUUUACGACCUCGAUGUUGGAUCAGGGCAUCCUAACGGUGCAGCCGCUGUUAAGGGUUC
rnacentral:rRNA from 1 species